UGAAACUGUUAGAUAAGCAGGCCAGCUAAAAUUCCCUCAGGAAAAAAAAUUCAUUACAAUCUGUCUGAAUCACCGAAGAGUUUGGGGGAAGACAUUAAAACAGAAGCAGAAUCUGAGCUCACUUCAACGGACAUUAGUUGUGCCAUUUGGUGUCUGCAGGGCACUGGGCUAGGUGUCAGAGGACAGAGGUGAGGAAGAAGUCGUCCCGCCCUGAAGGAUCUCAGUCUAGUCAGAGACAAGCUGUAAAUGGAUUAGUUCAAUAUGCUGUGGUGAUGAUAGUGAAGCUUGCUCUGGAGGAUGCUGUGAGGUCCGCUCUGGAGAUAGUUGCAAAGGGCCGUGGAUUGUUGUGCUCCUGGUGGACGGCACCAUUCCUGAGAUGGCUCUCCAUCCAUUUUUCCUGCUUGGCUGUUUUCUGGAAAGUGGAGAAAAAUGAUGGAGCUCUGCCCCAAGGAUCUCCUCUCACCACGAAUGCUAACAGAGCAGACACUCUGAACCGGCGGAGACGACUCAGCAUUUCCGAGGGGUCGCCAUUACAUAUUGCCAUCUCUAUCAAGAAGGACAGCCAGUUAGAGUAUUUCCUCUCCUGUUUCCCAAAAUAGAAACAGCAACGCCAACACAGCAAUUCAUCCUAGCUAUGAAGAGGAUUCAGUGCCCUGGAGCCACUAUGGAUCAUAUUUCUCACUGCACAGAGACAGUCUGCCUGAGAAUUGGUCCACCACAGUGAGAAGCAGAGCCGAGGGAUGGAGAAGGAAGAGCUACACCAUGAUGGGACCACUGGGCUCCACCAGCAACUAAAACCAGGUCGUACUACUCCUGUAUUUUUCACUUAGAUGAACCAACAAAUCAAUUUCUUUGUCUUCCCUCCUGCCUCCCUGUCUUUUUUUCUCUUUUUUCCUUUUUUGUUAAAUUGGUUUGAAUUGAGAUGCUGACUGGUAGAGAGUCCUUACUAUACCUUCAUGAUCGUUAUUAUCACCUUAGAAAAUGCUAUGAACUUAAAAAAAAUUCCUGUAUGUUUGUAUAUCUUUGAAAUUUGUAUACACACAUUUGUGCUUGAUGAUUAGGAUGAACAUUCUUUUUCUCAUUUGUGAAUCAUGUAUUCAUGUUUUGGUCCACUUAUUUAUUAAGUUUUUAGUUUUAAAAGCAUUUGCAUAAGUUUAUUUCAUGCUGAAGAUAUAUGGGCUACAUGUUUGUGAAAAUGCUUUUCCCACAUAGUUGUUUGUUUAUGUUAUGAGUCUUUUACCUAGGGAAAUUUGCUUUUUGUUUGUACAAUAUAAAUUAUCUUUUAAUAAAAAUUUGUUUUUUGGUAAAAUUAAAUUAUUUUUCUUUGUAAAUUUUCCUACUGUUUUUAAAUUUACAACUCCCUUCUUUAUAGAAUUUUUGUUUGCGUUUUCAGUUUUAAACAUUCAGAACUUAUUUAAGUGUGUGAUUUGAGUUGAGUUUUUGUGUUGACUUUUUUCUGCCUAUUCGCUAUUUUUUUGCUUCAACAAUGUUGACUAAUCUGUUAAUUUCCAAUUGGCUUAUAAUGCCUUUAAAAAAAUCAGAUGCUAUGUUCUUGUAAACAUAAGAACAUAUGGUAAGUUUUGUUUGGGUGUUAUUUAUGGUGUUUCAUUUAUAUUUAAGCGUAUUUCUAAGUUUAUAUGUAUAAUAGGAUUUUGGUUCUACACCAUGUCUAAUUUUAACCACACAGAGACAGGCAGCUAUUAUUGUGAAUAGCACCACUUUUGAUUACACAGGGCAGUAAAAUAUAGUAUGUUCCUUAAUUAUUUCUAGGACACAAUUAUGUAUUGAUAGCUACUGUCUAUUGAGGCUUCCCAUGUCCUAGACACUCUGCUAAAUUUUAAUUCUUAUCACAACUCUAUAUGGUAGAUAUGAUUAUCCUCCUUCAUAGAAAUGAGUUUGUUAUUAUUUUCAUAUUGCGAUGAAAUAUUUUUCCAAUUUUUCAGUUUUAAUUUCUAAUUUGAUAAAGCUUGAUAGGUAAAACUCCCAUAACCAAAACUUUUAGGAGCAUGAACGUGUCCUGGGAUGAAGAAGAUUGAGAGCCGCUGAUGUAGCUCACAGUAGUCUUCAUAAAAUUAUUAGGUGUUAACAUUAUUAUUAAGUUUUGAAUAUUUAAGUAUAAUUGGUGUACAAUAAAUUGCGUAUACUUGAGUGUAUACUUUGAUGAGUUUGACAAAUGAGUACUCCCAUGAAACCAUCACCAUGAUUAAGAUAAUGACCACAUCUAUCACUCCCAGAUUGCUUUGUAAUCCAUCCCUCCCUCCCCAGGGGUUCCAUAGCCAACAAACCCACUGGUCUGCUUUCUGUCAAUAUAGUUGGCAUUUCCUAGAGUUUCAUAUAAAUAGAAUC
rnacentral:lncRNA from 1 species